UAGGGAAUAUUGGGCAAUGGAGGCAACUCUGACCCAGCCAUGCCGCGUGAACGAAGAAGGCGCUAUGCGUCGUAAAGUUCUUUUAGAAGGGGCGAAAAUGGGCGACUUGUCGUCAACUGACGGUACCUUCGGAAUAAGCACCGGCUAACUCCGUGCCAGCAGCCGCGGUAAUACGGAGGGUGCGAGCGUUAUCCGGAAUCACUGGGUUUAAAGGGUGCGUAGGCGGGAUUAUAAGUCAGAGGUGAAAUCUCAUCGCUUAACGAUGGAAUUGCCUUUGAUACUGUGGUUCUUGAAAAGUGUUGAGGUUGGCGGAAUGAGACAUGUAGCGGUGAAAUGCUUAGAUAUGUCUUAGAACACCGAUUGCGAAGGCAGCUGACUGGACAUUAUUUGACGCUGAGGC
rnacentral:rRNA from 1 species